GAAAGAAUCAAGUUCCAGAAACUCCUGGUCCAGUGCUUCGGUGUUUGUCAGCAGCAGGUUGAGACAUACAGAGUCUAAUUCUGCUGCAGGUUUCCUUCUGUUAACCUGAAGUAAUUCCACCAAGAUGCCUCAGGCCUGCUAUCCGUCCUGAUCUAAAUCCUGCUGAACAUCUGUGGAAGGAGCUGAAACAUCUGGAGAAGGCUCCCUUCAACUGGAGACACCUGGAGCAGUUUGUCCAUGAGGAGUGGACCAGAACACCUGUGGACAGGGAUGGAGGACCUGAGGCCGGUCUCAAGCUGUCUUUUUCCGGGCUCGGAUUGUUAUGCCUCAGUUUUGGUCUUGUUCUACAAAAUGGGUUACUCACAUCAAGAUGGAUGUUAAUUAAAAGCAACAUGAGAGAUCACAGUGCAGCUGCAUCCCACCAUCAAGUACAAUCUUUGUAUCAUGACUGCAAAAUCGUGUUGCAUGCAACAGACCUCUGACAUAAAAAAGUGCAUUUGUAUGUUCAUACGGGGCGUAGUUUAGCUUUUGCUGAGCAACCACCUGCAGCCUGACUGCAGAAAAUUAUUAAAUCAGCUUUUUUUAAA